CCGUUUCUUUCACACACACACACACACACACACACACACACAUAUAUAUAUAUAUAUAUAUAUAUAUAUAUAUGUGUGUGUGUGUGUGUGUGUGUGUGUGUGUGAAAGAAACGG
rnacentral:miRNA from 1 species